AUACUUACUGGCAGGAAAGAUACCAUGAUCACAAAGGUGGCUUUCCUAGGAUAAGCCUUAUCCAUUGUGCUCCAGAUGUGCUGAUCCUUGCAAUUUUGCCUAAUAUGAGAAAGUCACCUGAAAAAUUUGUGGUAGUGGGGGACUGCACUUGCUUUCUCCCC
ensembl:snRNA U1 U1 spliceosomal RNA